UAGGGAAUCUUCCACAAUGGACGCAAGUCUGAUGGAGCAACGCCGCGUGAGUGAAGAAGGCUUUCGGGUCGUAAAACUCUGUUAUUGAAGAAGAACGUGCGUGACAGUAACUGGUCAUGCAGUGACGGUAUUCAAUCAGAAAGUCACGGCUAACUACGUGCCAGCAGCCGCGGUAAUACGUAGGUGGCAAGCGUUGUCCGGAUUUAUUGGGCGUAAAGCGAGUGCAGGCGGUCUUUUAAGUCUGAUGUGAAAGCCUUCGGCUUAACCGAAGAAGGGCAUCGGAAACUGGGAGACUUGAGUGCAGAAGAGGAGAGUGGAACUCCAUGUGUAGCGGUGAAAUGCGUAGAUAUAUGGAAGAACACCAGUGGCGAAGGCGGCUCUCUGGUCUGUAACUGACGCUGAGGCUCGAAAGCGUGGGUAGCAAACAGGAUUAGAUACCCUGGUAGUCCACGCCGUAACGAUGAAUACUAAGUGUUGGAGGGCUUUCCGCCCUUC
rnacentral:rRNA from 1 species